AGCAGCCUCCGGGACUUGAGGACACAUCUGUGAGGAGAUGUAGUAGCUGCCAUCUGCACAAACUGCAUUAUUUAACUGCGCUGGCACUGAUUAACAUUUGCUGUAACCUAUGGUAAUGGGCUCUGGGGCUUUGCAUGUCUGCUACACAGUGGCAGCUGAUGUCUCCUGCUCCAUCCUUAAAACAGGAUGCUUUAAUUUUUAAUGGAGCACAUGUUCGAUUGGCUAUACAAACAGGCUAAUCUGCAAAGCAUGUGCUCAAUAACAAGCCUGACUAUGCCGCCAGAAUAUCAACAUGACUCGGCUAAGCUGGGGAGGAGUGGGUGGGACUCCUGCUCACCUCUGCCAGCCAAGGGCUGGAAGCUGGGAGCACAGGCCAGCUGAAAGCCCAGGGGUGGCUGUGGCCAGAGGCACAUGUGACCUCCUCUGGAGACCCCGAGGGUCUUCAGCUUCUGGGUGCCUGCAAAUCCCAGUCAGCAGGGAAAAUAACAAAAUUGUGUGUGCGGCAGGUUCAGGCCUCCAGUGUAAAGCCAGAUGUGGCAUUAAAGAUGAAACUCUUCUCUGUUGCAUGGCCAUGACUAGAAUGAGGUAUAUGCAUCCAAUCAGACUUACUGCCUGCCCUGCAGUAAGUCAUCCUCUCAAGGAUGAGAAUUUAAAGGCAAAUAAAGCACAGUCCUUGACUUCAUGAAAACUACACCAAUGGCCACAGUGGCAGUGUGAGAAGUGGCAUGUUAGGUGUAGGAACAAAGUUCUCUGGGAGCGCACAGGAGGAAGUCAGCCAAGAGGAGACACUAAAGGUAGGUUCUGAAGAAUGAGCAGGAGUUUAUGAGAAGCACUUUUAAGAUGACACCCAGUUCUGAAGGCACACAGUGUGUGGGGAAGGGUAAGCAGUUUGAGGCACUAGUAUGCAGCUUCAGAUAAUUACAUCAAGAUAUCUGGGGAGAAGUUGGAAAUUUGGAUCCGGAACUUAAGGGAGAAGUGAAGGCUAGAGACAGAAACAUGGGUGGUUAUCGGAAGAUAGGUAAUGUUGACACCUGGAGCUCUGAGAGAAAUGGUCUCGAGCGAAAGGAUGCAAGGACAGAAGCCUCAGGGCUACCAACAUUGAACUUAGGGGAUGGUUAUAAGAAGUAUCUCAAUGGGGUGGGUAAAGAAGUGAAGGAAGGGGGAAUUCCAGGCAUAAUGAGAGGCCACAACAACCUCAAGGCAGUCAAGUAACUAAAGCCUCGAAGACUUGAUCACAACUGCGAUUGUCACAACCCAGCAAUUACAAUCCCAGUCCUUAUGAGUACAAAGUGCUUUCACAUCUAUUAUUUCACAACAAUACUGCAAGAUAGGCAGAUGUCACUGUUCCCUUCUUUUCUAGAUGAGUGAUAUAGUUUGGGUAUUUGUCCCUGCCCAAAUCUCACGUUACAAAUGUAAUUGCCAAUGCUGGAGGUGGGACCUGAUGGGAGGUAUCUGUCACGGGGGUGGACCCCUCAUGGUUUGGUGCUGUCCUCGUAACAGUGAGUGAGGUCAUACAAGCUCUGGUUGUUUGAAGGUGUGUGGCGCCGCCCAUCUCUCUUUCCCUUGCUCCUGCUAUCACUAUCUGAUGUGCCUACUCUCCCUUUGCCUUCUGCCAUGAUUAGAAGCUUCCUGGCCAGGCACAGUGGCUCAUGCCUGUAAUCCCAACACUUCGGGAGGCUGAGGCAGGCGGAUCACAAGGUCAGGAGAUUGAGACCAUCCUGGCUAAAAAGGUGAAACCCCGUCUCCACUAAAAAAUACAAAAAAAUUAGCCAGGCGCGGUGGCGGGCGCCUGUAGUCCCAGCUACUUGGGAGGCUGAGGCAGGAGAAUGGCUUGAAUCCAGGAGGCAGAGGUUGCAGUGAGCUGAGAUUGCGCCACUGCACUCCAGCCUGGGCGACACAGCGAGACUCUGUCUCAAAAAAAAAAAAAAAAAAAAAA
ensembl:lncRNA